rnacentral:lncRNA from 1 species
UGUCUUUUUUUUAAAUUAAUUUAUUUAUUUUUGAGACAUAGUUUCUCUGUGUAACAGUCCUGGCUGCAAAGGGGUGGGUGAGACAGAUAACCCAAUUUGGGAUUAAACAUUCCAUGGCCAUUUAUUUUCUGCACUUUGACUGGUUGUGAGCCUCUAUAUUAACUGUUGUCUACUGCAGUAAGAAACAUCUUUAAUGAGGCAGAUUAGAUACUGGUAAGGGUGUUGGGUAGCUGGUCUACAGAGUGAGUUCCAGGACAGCCAGGGCUACACAGAGAAACCCUGUCUCAAAAAAAAAAACAAAAACAAAAAACAAAGACACACACACAAAAAACAAAACAAAAAAAGCAAAAUUAGAAUUUGCUGUGUCUUUUUUUUAAAUUAAUUUAUUUAUUUUUGAGACAUAGUUUCUCUGUGUAACAGUCCUGGCUGCAAAGGGGUGGGUGAGACAGAUAACCCAAUUUGGGAUUAAACAUUCCAUGGCCAUUUAUUUUCUGCACUUUGACUGGUUGUGAGCCUCUAUAUUAACUGUUGUCUACUGCAGUAAGAAACAUCUUUAAUGAGGCAGAUUAGAUACUGGUAAGGGUGUUGGGUAGCUGGCUACUUAGGUUAUGACCACUGUUUCUACCACUAAAUUAUAACUCAGUGGUUAACUUGUUAACCAAUUAAUUGUUAACUUGUUAGGAUUUAAUAGUUUUUUUUUUUUUUUUAGUAAAUGUGUUUUAACAUCUACUGGGCCAAAUGCAUUUUGUGUUGUUGGUUUCCUUUUGAUAUCAAAAAGGAAAAGCUUUCUAAGUUUAGUGAAAUGGUAUCUGUAUUAUUAGAUCUAUCUAGACCCAUGUAUCUGUAUCAUGGCUUUUUGAGAAAGAAGUGGUAAUGUUAAAUAUGUAAAGCAACUGGGAUUCACAGGAAUGUGAGGCUUCCUGUAGAACAGAUUAAAACAGAUAAAUAAACAGGUUCAUAGAGCAAAAGGGUCUUUAACUUCAUCUCAUGACCAACCAGUUCCAUUCCUAGCUGUUGCUGAGGGUGGAGAGACUAGUAACCAGAAUGUUUAUAGCUCAAAGCUGGACAAUGCCAAUAAAAUUUAAUGAGCUAAUUAUAAUUGUGGAGCUAUCUCAUACACAGUAUUUAAUUUUUAAAAGACACAAAAGACUGCUUUUGUGAUUCCCUCUAUGUGAAAUACUAGAAGAGAUGAAUCUUGAAUUAGAAGCAACUGGUUAGUGGUUACCUAGGCUCUAGUUGGGAAUUGUCUGAGGAAAGGAUGAUCAAAACAUUAUAGUGUAAGUUAUAGUGUUAGGUGUAAAGUUGUGCACAUUUAACAAAACACAACUGAACCUCUUAUGAAAAUGGAUUCAUUUGAAUGUAUUUAAGUUAUUCCUUGGUUAAAUGGGGGGGUAAUAUUUUAUGUAAAAACUGUGAUAGUAUCUGAAAGAAAGGAUUUCUAUAAUUUUCAUUUUAAGAUAUGUUCAUAUUCUACAAGAAUCUUACAAUUGCAGUACCAUCCACUUCCUUCGCAAUGCUUCCUUUCCUCACUUAAACUGCUCUUCUAUUCCUGGUAUUUUGUACUUCCCUCCCCUCUAUUACUUUUCAGAUUUCACAGUAUUUUGUUUCUUAUACUUUGUGUGGGAUCUUUUUUAAAAAGAGAGACCAGCUUCUCUUGUGCUCUAAUAAUUUAUGCUAACACAUGCCUCUUAAUAAGGUCUGAGUUUGGAACUCAGAGCAAUCC